rnacentral:snoRNA from 1 species
AACAUCAAUAUUUAUCACGAUUGCAAGUAUUAUCUAUGGCAAGUGGGGAUCUCCACCCUGUGUGCCACAAUGCUUGUCAGUGUAGAGUAAAAAUGAUCGUUGCUGGGCGCCCGCCGUUGAUAUUCAAUGAGACGUUGGGAAUCAGCUGUAUCUACAUAC